UCUAUUUCUUAGCUCUAGAAGGAGAUAACGAAAAUCUGUUGAUAAUCGGAGUAAUAAAUUGUUUUUGACUGAAUGUACCUGUUCUUUUGGCUUGUGAGAAGAGAAGAUUAUUGUCAUAUGAUUGUCAUUAAUGAUUAUUUGAGAUUCCACGAUUAUUCGGCAUUUUUGUAAUUUUUGUUUUGUGGUUGAGAUCUAGACAAAAUGUUUCCUUUAAAGGUUCUCUUAUAAAGACUAUCAAAAACAUUGAAUACCUACGGGAUACCUACUGAUACUCUGCGCGAGCUCCCAACCGUGCUUCCCAGUAUACUCCCAACCAAGUUAGAUAAAAAAGAUAUUGAAGAUUGCAGCCUUGAGCUGGAGUAUGGGCUCCACUACGACAUGUACAGAAACGAAUUACCUAAACUGGCAAGCAUGUAAAAUUAAACCUUAAUGAAAAAUUGAACUUAUUUAUUUUUAGUUCAAGAAAAGGCAUGACAAUCCACAACCCACCAAAGACCUGGUAAAUGAAUUCUGCAAAAACUGAAAACCAAACUAAGUUAAAUAAAUUAUUAUGUUCCUA